rnacentral:lncRNA from 1 species
UGAGUCACCAGCCUGAGCGCCGUGUCCCCCGCGCGCGGGGCCGACGGUGAGGUGAGCAGGAAGGGGCCACCGGGAAUCCUGUUUGCAGCCGGCCUGGACACGCGCUGUUCGCUCCUAGCGCGGGGUCCUUCUGGAGCUGGCCCGUCUCCCCGGAUCCCAGCUCUAGCCUGAGGCCCCCAGGCCCCGGGGCUCCCGUGACACCUGGAGGAAGCCUUCACUGUGCCCACCAUACGCCUCCACCGCCACUGUCCUCUCUGCUUCCCGCAGCCCGAAGGGGCUGUCUCAGGUUCCCAAGCCAGCCCAGGGCCGGCGGCGAUGAUCCUCAAACCAGAUGAGACCGCCCCACCGGCCUCACAACCCUACUGCUUUAUUUUUGCCUUUUCACUUCUGCGCGUGACCGUGUCCGCGGGUCUUCUCUUUUUAAAGACGUAUGUUGGGGCGCCUGGGUGGCGCAGUCGGUUAAGCGUCCGACUUCAGUCAGGUCACGAUCUCGCGGUCCGUGAGUUCGAGCCCCGCGUCAGGCUCUGGGCUGAUGGCUCAGAGCCUGGAGCCUGUUUCCGAUUCUGUGUCUCCCUCUCUCUCUGCCCCUCCCCCGUUCAUGCUCUGUCUCUCUCUGUCCCAAAAAUAAAUAAACGUUAAAAAAAAAAAAAAAUUUUUAAAGACGUAUGCUGUUUUUGAGUUCAGCCCGCUCUUGGAAAUUUUUACUUGGCUUAAAAAGAACGUGGGAGGGGCGCCUGGCUGGCUCAGUCGGCGGAGGGUGCGACCCUUGAUCUUGGGGUCGUGAGUUCGGGCCCCACGUUUGGGGGUAGAGAUUACUUUAAAAAAAAUAAAAUAAAAAUGAAAGUCUUUUUCAAAAAACGUUAGCAUUAGAAUGAAAAGUUCAUUGUAGAAAACAAAGACAAGAACAAAAGCGUGGGUAACGGAGGAGGCAUCUACGGACACGGCCCUUGCAGCCAGGGUCAGGGCUCUGGGCCUCACUGGACCCACAUCUUUCUCUGAAUGGCUUCUUUUUAAAAUAUUUUUAUUUAUUUUUGAGAGACAGAGAGACACAGAGCAUGAACAGGAGAGGGGCAGAGAGAGAGGGAAACACAGAAUCCGAAGCGGGCUCCAGGCUCCCAGCUGUCAGCACAGAGCCCCAUGUGGGGCUCAAACCCUUGAACUGUGAGAUCAUGACCUGAGCCCAAGUCGAACACUUAACUGAUUGAGCCACCCAGGCACCCCAUGACUACCCAAAUUUUGAAGCCGUGAUGAGCAUAAAUGAUAUUUUGAGAUAUCAGCAACAAUUCUAAUGUGAUAAUGUGAUAAUCUGUACUUAUUUGGUGGAAGUCACAGGCAUGACUAAUACUACUUUGGUUUGGUUCCUUAUAGAGGAAAAUACCAAGCUGUAGUUAGAAAUCAGGGAAAACACAUAAGGUUUUCUUCCCCCAUUGAAGUUUCCCAGGCCCUGAGUUCCAUCUGUGUUCCCCAGGAUAAGAACCCUCACCCCCAGAAAUGCCACACCGUCUCCCAAGAUUAUGGCGCUUACACUCCUUGCCCAGUGAGUGACCGCUGUCUCCUCUCCUGGGAGCACUAGCCAUUGGCCAGCUUUUCAAUUAGUGCCAACACGGGGCACCUGGCUGACUUAGGUGGAGCGUGUGACUCUCGAUCUUGGGUUUGUAAGUUCCAGUGGCAUGUUGGGUAGAGAGGUCACUUUCGAAUAAAAUCUUAAGGGGCACCUGGGUGGCUCAGUCGGUUGAGCGUCCGACUUCGGCUCAGGUCAUGAUCUCGCGGUCCGUGAGUUCGAGCCCCGCGUCGGGCCCUGUGCUGACAGCUCAGAGCCUGGAGCCUGCUUCGGAUUCUGUGUCUCCCUCUCUCUCUGCCCCUCCCCUGCUCGUACUCUGUCUCUGUCUCUCUCACAAAAAUAAACAUAAAAAAAUAAUAAAAAUAAAAUCUUAAAACAAAUAAAUUAGUGACAAUUUGGUGGGUAUGAAAUGGAAUCUCCUGGAAAUUUUCAUUUGCACUUUUCUGAUUAUUCAUGAAGCGUCUUUUCAUAUAGUUUUUUCUUCUGUGUAAUGAUUACCUUUUGUUCAUUUCUCUGUUGGGUUUUUGCUUUUAUCUCUUUGACUUGUAGGAAUCCUUUAUAUGAGAAGAAAUGGGGAGAGAUGAGUGAACUGCUUGUGUUUUUGUUCAAAUAAAUAAUAAAGAAAGACAAAAAAAAAACCCUAUUAUUCAUAUAUGUUACAAGUAUCCUCUUCUGGAUUGUGGCUUGCCUUUUUUAUUCUUUAUGGUAUCUGCAAUAGGCAGAAAUUCUCAAUUUUCAUUUUUAAUUAAUUAAAUAAUUAAUUAAUUACAGUAGGCUCCAUGCCCAGCGUGGAACCCAAAAGGGCCUUGAACUCAGGACCUUGAAGUCAAGACCUGAGCUGGGAUCCAGUGUCGGUCCCUUAACUGACUGAGCCACCCAGGCGCCCCCCAGAAAUUCUUAAUUUUAAUAGAGUAGAAUCUGUCAGCUUUUGUCUUUAUAGUUUGUGCAAACUUCUUUUCUAUCGGAAGAUCAUAAAGACGUCCAUUUACAUGGUGUUCUAAAUUAUUUACGGUUUUGUAUUUCACAUGUACGUCUUCAAUCCACUGGGAAUUAAUUUUGUGUAUGUCGAGAUAGGGAUCCGAUUUCAUUUUCCCCCCAUGUGGUUAAUUAGUUGUCCCGGCACCAGUUGGUGAAUCCAUUUAUCCCCCACUAGUCUGCAGUUCCCCUUCUGUCCGAAAUCAAAUUUCCAUGAGCGCUUAUCUUUGGUUCUGGUCUCCAUCCUGAUCCAACACUAUUGUUCCGUGCCCGCGUCAAUACCACACCUUCGAAUUUCCUUACCAGGUGGAGGCAAGUCUCCCACUUUCUUCAGGAGUACCUUGGCUAUUUGCAGCCUCAGCUUUUCCAGAGAAAUGUCAGAAUCAGCCUGCCAAAGCUCACACAAAAUACUCUCGGAAUUCUUACUGGGAUGGCGUUGAAUUUAUAAAGCAAUUUGUGGACAGCUGACAUCUUUCAGUUACUGUCUUUUUAUCCAAGAAUAUAGUCCGCUGUCCAUUCAUUUAGAUCUUCUUUAAUCUCUGACGUCUUUCAAUAAAGUUCUGUAAUGUUUCCAGCAAAGGGCUUGCACAUCUUUUGUUAGAUUUGUUAUUAACUCUUCCUUCUUUCCCGCCUUCUUGCAUUUUUCUUAAUUUCUGAUAUUGUAAAGACCUUUUAAAAAAUUGUUGCUGUAUAUAGAAAUGCAGAUAUAUACUUUUAUAUAUUGAUCGUGUAUCCAGGCUUAAAAAAAAACUCUUAUUCUAAUAUAAUGUAGCUAUAAGUUAUUUUAAGAUUCUCAUAUAUUCAUAUCAUCAGCAAAGACUGGCAAUUAUUUCUCUCUUCCCAAUCCUCCAAUGUUUUAUUUCUUUCUUCUUGCCAUUCUACCCUGGUUAGGAUCUUCAGCGCAAUGCUAACUUACAGGCAACUUACAAUAGGCAACUUACGUCCAGUUGGAUUUUAAAGGGAAUUAAAUAUAACAUUGGUUGUCCAGUUGUCGUUUUGGGUAUAUAUAGUAUUCGGUCUUUAUUUUGUUGUUAAAAACACCACAAUUUUAGAGGUUUAGCAAGAAAAAUAUAUUACCUUACAGUUCUGGAGGCCAAACAUCUGACUCUGUCUCUCACGGGACUAAAAUCAAGGUGUGGACAGGGUUGUGCUUCCUUCUGGAGUCACUAGAGAAGAAUCCAUUUCCUUGACUUUUCCAGCUUCUAGAGGUGCCCGUGUCCCUUGGCUGUGGCUCCGUCCUCCAUCUUCAAAGCCGGUAAUGUUGCAUCUCUGACCCUUCCAGAGCGACGUCUCCCUGACCAACUUCAGCCAGAAAAUGUUCUCCACGUUAAAGGGUUGAACGAUCAGACUGGUACACCUGGAUAACCCAAGAUCAUGUCCUGAAACCUAAUCAUGUCUUCAGAGUCCCUUUUGCCAUGAAUGGUAAUGUACAGGUUCUGGAGUGACAUCUUUGGGGGGCAGGCUGUGGGGGACGUUAUUCCAACCGAUGUAGGCUGGCUGGGCCUGAGCACCCAGAGGGAGUCCUACAAAGACCAGCCCAAAAGGGUCCCUGGUCUCAUACAGGAUGAAAACCAAAAUGCAGGCGAGAGGAGGUAAGAGCAGAGUUUAUUGAAGACGGAGAGAGACUGGAAUGAUACAGAGAAGACCAGCACGGCCUCUGCACAAGGAUGAUGUGCAAAUUCAUGAAGCGUUCCAUAUUAAAAAAAAAAAAAAAAAUCUUUCCAGGUAAUAUAGGACUAUUCAGGUUCUAGGGGUGCCUGGGUGGUUCAGUCGGUUCGGCGUCUGACUCUUGAUUUCGGCUCAGGUCACGAUCUUACUGUUGGUGGGAUCGAGCUCCACAUCAGGGUCCGUGCUGACAGUAUGGAGCCUGCUUGAGAUUCUCUGUCUCCCUCUCUCUGCUCCUCCCCCACUCACGCUGUCUCUCUCUCUCUCUCUCUCUCUCAAAAUAAAUAAAAUAAACUUAAGAAAAAAAGGAUUACUCACAUUCUUUAUUUCUCCCUAAGACGGUUUUGGUAAACUGUGUUUUUGUUUUUUUUUCUAGGAUGUUACCUACUACUUUAUCUAAGUUUUCAAACUUAUUGGCAUAAACAUUGAUAUUGACUUUGAUAAUACUUUCUGUUUUAUGUUUUCCCUGCUUUUCAGAUGUUUCUACUCUUAUUCUUUCCUUUCCAGACUUCUAAAAUUCUAAAGUUGAGUGUUUGGUUCAUUCAUUUUGAGAUUUUCUUCUUUUCUAACAGAAAUGUUAGAAUGUAUCUAAUGUAUCAGACAUGAUACAUUAUUUCUGUAUAUGGAUAUCAGUUUGUGUCCACAUUCAGUUCUGAUGACUUCCAAGUAUAUGCACUUUUUCCCAAUAUAUGUAGCUGUAGUUACUGAUUUCUUUUUUUUUUAACGUU